AUGACCGUUUGCCACCUCCUUCUUGGUCGACCAUGGCAAUUCGACCGUGGUGUCAUCCACAAUGGGCGCACCAAUCACCAUAGCUUUAAGAUGAAAGGGAAGGAGUAUGUGCUACGACCUAUGUCUCCUAGUCAAGUGAUAGCCGACAAGCAACCCACCCACCAUGGAGAGAAGAGUGAGAAAGUGACCCAACCAAAAGUGAGUGAGAGCCACAAGCCAAAUAUGAGCGCCUCUUCGCCUAGAGAGAAAAACCUCAUCCUAUUUGCUACCAAAAGUGAGAUAAGAGAAGUGUGUGAGAACCCAUCGAGUGUGAUGCACUUCGUCCUCGUGUGCAAAGAUGGAGAGCCAACAACUAACACCUCUCACGAGUUACCUUUAGUGUUUCAGUCUCUUUUGCAGGAAUUCAAAGAUGUCUUCCCCGAUGAGCUACCUCCGGGUCUACCUCCUCUACGAGGCAUUGAGCAUCGAAUCGACCUCAUCCCCGGAGCGCCACUUCCAAACAAAGCCCCAUACUGUGUCAAUCCCGAAGAAACCAAGGAGAUUCAACAACAAGUACAACAACUCAUCGACAACGGUUAG
rnacentral:rRNA from 1 species